rnacentral:misc_RNA from 1 species
GAUGAAGAACGUAGCGAAAUGCGAUAAGUAAUGUGAAUUGCAGAAUUCAGUGAAUCAUCGAAUCUUUGAACGCACCUUGCGCUCCUUGGCAUUCCGAGGAGCAUGCCUGUUUGAGUGUCAUUAAAUUCUCAAGACCUGUCUGCUUUUUUGAUAGGUAUUGGAUUUUGGGGGUUGCAGGCUGUUUCAAAUAAAUAGCCUUGCUCUCCUUGAAUGUAUUAGUGGAGAGAAGCCAUUGAACUCCAUUGGUGUGAUAAAACCUAUCAAUGCCAGGAGCAAUAUUACUACUUCUCUCUGCUGUCUAACUGUGACUGUCUGUAUUAAUUAGUAUGGAUGGGGACAACUUGACCAACUUGACCUCAAAUCAGGUAGGACUACCCGCUGAACUUAAGCAUAUCAAUAAGCGGAGGA